CAGUGAAAUACACUAUGGUUACAAACGGUACUAUAUACUACUUUUAACCUUUAUCUUCACAUAUUUCAAUUUGUCCAAUGUUGGAAUAACAAAGAUUGUUUGGCGAAUGGUUGAUUUUGGAAAAUUAUACAAUAUAACUACUGUGAAAUGACAUAUAAUGGUUGAGGAAAACUCGUUAACGAUGGGUUGUCUCACAAGGCCUGGAGGGACAUUUCAGAUUACUGGAACAAACUAAGAUCCCAUCAUGACAUUUGCUGUGAGGCAUUGAGCAUGCCUCACCAUAAUAUCCUCUGCAACACGUUGACAAGGCCUCAUGUCAUCUGUGACCCAUUGAUCAGACCCCAAUGUGCUGUUCUUUGCAGCAAUGACCAGACACCUCUAUGAUGCCCGCUGCGAGACAUUGAGCAGCUGCCAUUUAACUGGUGUGAAAUAAUUACCAGCAAAGCAUCCACAAAGUGAAUUCCUCCAAAGAGACGUGCCUUGCGAUCAAAUGGGUGCAUGAUGAGGGUAUAUGAGAGGAUAUUUUAAUAGAAAUGCAAUUCUGGAAAUCAAAAUGUGCUUCAGGGCAACAGAGAAGCAGCUGAGCAGCCAUAUGUGAUCUGCGACCGUGCAGAAACCAUGCAUCACACCACAGAGACGAAGAAUCGCACCAAGAAUCUUGGAGUAAUAUCAGAGUGAUCGGAUGGACAUUAAGCCGGAGGACCCAUCUGCCGGCACUGAUCGUUGGCGGAUGUUAAAGAUUGCACAAUGUUCUUCGCAAAGAAUAGGGGCCACUGCUGAGGGCCCCCAGGUACAGAGCUGGUCCCUUUUCAUUUCUCAAGAAGACUUCACCAUUCUUUUUCUUCGACAAAGUCAAGGCAAGGCAUCAAUGUGCGUGCCAUCUAUCAGAGGGACGUUAAGCCGGAGGACCCGUCUUCCAGCAACGGGGGAGUCGGUGGACACGUUAUAGAGAUCCCAUGGUGUCUUCACGAAGAGAGUAAGUGAGGUAUCGCUGACACCCUGAACAAAUUACAAAUUCCAGCCCUUACUGACUGCUGGGAAAGCAACGACAAACUACUCAGUGUAAUCUUUGUCCAGGAACUGGUUUGGCAACACAGGUGCUCUAUCAAGAGUGUGAUACAUUUGAUUGGUUGAUUUACGGUUCGAACGAUGUGCUCGGCCAUCCCCUGAAAGUGUUUCUUUGAAUUACGAACAUGAAAAGCAUUUCCAAAAUCAUAAUUGAAAUAUUUUUCAUGUUUUUGACAGCUUGAAUUAAUAAGACUGGUUAAGGCAACAACAAUGAAAAACUUUCGGUUUUGAAGCCUCUUAUUGAAUU
rnacentral:lncRNA from 1 species